rnacentral:rRNA from 1 species
GACGAACGCUGGCGGCGUGCUUAACACAUGCAAGUCGAACGGAAAGGCCCUGCUUUUGUGGGGUGCUCGAGUGGCGAACGGGUGAGUAACACGUGAGUAACCUGCCCUUGACUUUGGGAUAACUUCAUGAAACUGGGUCUAAUACCGGAUAGGAGCUCCUGCUGCAUGGUGGGGGUUGGAAAGUUUCGGCGGUUGGGGAUGGACUCGGGGGUUAUCAGCUUGUUGGUGGGGUAGUGGCUUACCAAGGCUUUGACGGGUAGCCGGCCUGAGAGGGUGACCGCGCACAUUGGGCCUACGAUACGGCCCAGAGUGCUACGGGAGACAGCAGGGGGGAAUAUUGCCCAGUGGGCGGAGGUGUGAUGAAGCAACGCCGCGUGCGGGAUGCCGGCCUUCGGGUUGUAAACCGCUUUCGCCUGUGACGAAGCGUGAGUGACGGUAAUGGGUAAAGAAGCACCGGCUAACUACGUG